rnacentral:rRNA from 1 species
GCAGUCGCCGCGGGAAUACGUAGGUGGCGAGCGUUGUCCGGAAUCAUUGGGCGUAAAGGGAGCGCAGGCGGGCAUGUAAGUCUUUCUUAAAAGUUCGGGGCUCAACCCCGUGAUGGGAAAGAAACUACAUGUCUUGAGUACAGGAGAGGAAAGCGGAACUCCCAGUGUAGCGGUGAAAUGCGUAGAUAUUGGGAGGAACACCAGUGGCGAAGGCGGCUUUCUGGACUGCAACUGACGCUGAGGCUUGAAAGCCAGGGGAGCGAACGGGAUUAGAGACCCCCGUAGUCCCUGUCUCUUAUACA